rnacentral:lncRNA from 1 species
ACCCGCUUGGGUCCCCUUCCACACUGUGGAAGCUUUGUUCUUUUGCUCUUUGCAAUAAAUCUUGCUACUGCUCACUCUUUGGGUCCAUGCUGCUUUUAUGAGCUGUAACACUCACCACGAAGGCCUGCAGCUUCACUCCUGAAGCCAGCGAGACCACGAGCCCGCCGGGAGGAACGAACAACUCCAGAUGUGCCGCCUUAAGAGCUGUAACACUCACCGCAAAGGUCUGCAGCUUCACUCCUGAGCCAGCGAGACCACGAACCCACCAGAAGGAAGAAACUCCGAACACAUCCGAACAUCAGAAGGAACAAACUCCAGACGCACCACCUUAAGAGCUGUAACACUCACCGCAAGGGUCCGCAGUUUCAUUCUUGAAGUCAGUGAGACCAAGAACCCACCAAUUCCGGACACAUUUUGGCGACCCAGAUGGGACUUUCGCCUAUCACCAAGCGGUGAGACCAUCACCUAUAGCUGAGCGGUGAGACCAUCACCUAUAGCUGAGCGGCGAGACCAUCACCUAUCACCAAGCAAAUCAAGGCCAUCAAGCUACAGAUGGGCUUACAAAUGGAACCCAAAAUGAGUUCAACUAACAACUUCUACCAAGGGCCCCUGGACCGACCCACUGGCACUUCCCCUGGCCUAGAGUUCCCCUCUGAAGGACACUACAACUGCAAGGCCCCUUCUUCACCCCAUCCAGCAGGAAGUAGCUAGAGCGGUCAUCGG